rnacentral:rRNA from 1 species
AACGAACGCUGGCGGCGCGCCUAAUACAUGCAAGUCGAGCGAGAAGACGUAGCAAUACGUUUGUAAAGCGGCGAACGGGUGAGGAAUACAUGGGUAACCUACCCUCGAGUGGGGAAUAACUAGCCGAGAGGUUAGCUAAUACCGCGUACGCUCCUUGGACUUCGGUUCAGGGAGGAAAGCGAUACCGUGGGUAUCGCGCUCUUGGAUGGGCUCAUGUCCUAUCAGCUUGUGGUGAGGUAACGGCUCACCAAGGCUUCGACGGGUAGCUGGUCUGAGAGGACGAUCAGCCACACUGGCACUGCGACACGGGCCAGACUCCUACGGGAGGCAGCAGUAAGGAAUAUUGCGCAAUGGGCGAAAGCCUGACGCAGCGACGCCGCGGUGGGGGA